rnacentral:misc_RNA from 1 species
GUGAAUCAUCAAAUCUUUGAACGCAUAUUGCACUCUUUGGUAUUCCGGAGAGUAUGCCUGUUUGAGGGUAAUUAAAAAGAAUAUUUAACCAAUUUUUUUGGUCAAUGGAUAUGAGUUGUCCGCGUUUAUAGAGGUAGCUUGAAAUGAAUGGUCAAGUCUCUUUUUAGUCGAGACGCGUAAUAAUAUUAUUUAGCGAAAUCUUCAUUAUGUGACUAUCACGUAUUGAUGCAUAGAAAUUUGGUUUGUAUGCGAUCAAUACAAAUAUAUUGAACAUUAC